rnacentral:lncRNA from 1 species
UGAAGUUUUAUUAAAAGAAAAAGGGGUGAAAAGAACAAAGUUUUGUCCAUCUUUGUUCAUCAUAGCUGAAAGUUAGAGAAGAGAAAGGAGAGGAGAAAACUCUUGAGUAUUUGGUCAUUAGGAGGAGGAAAAUUGAAGGUAAGUUCUUGGUACCUUGCUUCUAUUUUGAGGUUCAUGAGUUCUUCUUGAUUCUACCUUAACUCUUGAAGUAUAUUUUGAUUUUUAGUUGUGUUGUGAGCAUUUAGUCAUGAAUUAAAAUGAAAGAAAUGGUUGUUGUUUCAUGUUCUUUUGAUGAAAAAUGGAAGAUAGGUGAAGUUGAGCCAAACAAAUGAGCAUGCAUGUGCCUUAGAUGUUAAAGGGAAAAAUCAGCUAACAUGUUGUGCUUUAAAAUGAUGAAAUGGAGAUUAUACUUAAGUAAAAUCAUAGAUAUGUGAUGAUUGAUUGGUGAUAUACAUGUUUAAAUAACAUGCAUGCAAGGUAUGUGUGAAAGAGUGAUUUGGUAAUAAAUCUGCUUGGGACAACAGCAGUAACGUGACUUUGGAAAAUCACCAUAAAUUGUGGAAGAUGAAUUAGAAGCUGAAUAAAUUAUGUAAUUAAAGCUUAUUGAGUCUAGUUUCUAAUGAAAUAAACAAAAACAUAUUUUGAAUUCUGUACAAUGAGAAAUUUGAUUCGUAAUGAAGAGUGGUCAGAUUAGUCAAACAGUGAAACAUGGGAAACUUUAAGAAAAAUCUGGUAUUGAUUGGCCAUACCAAAAAUUCUGAAAAUUUUAUGGAUAAAAGAUAUAUGAGUCUAUUUUCAGGGAAAAUUAACGGCACUUGAUUUGGAGUUUCGUAGCUCCAGUUAUAAAUAAUUUAGUGACUGUUGCUCAGGAAGACAGCUUGCAGUGAAAUUAUGAUUAUGUGGUAAACAUUGACAAAAAUUUGUUAAUGAGUUGCUUAUUGAUUUCUUAUAAGCUUACUAUGAUCUGUAGGUGUGGUUGGCCGAAUAUUGUAAGGGGUUAAUACGUAGUUUGUAUUUGAAUAGUUAGAUUAACGUGUUAGUAAUCCAAUUGUAGGCGGUUCGUGUGUGGAUCUCGUCAGCAUAUCGUCGCAAACAGGUGUGUAACUGACACCCUCUCAUAGACUAGAUUGGCAAAAGCCGAAAAGACGAAAUGCCGAAAAGUCAUUAUUUUGGGAAUUUGAGAGUGUGCGAAUGCUCGUAAGAUAGUUGGGUUUAUAUAUUUGGUAAUCUAAAGUAAUAAACUGCAGUACGCGCAAUUUUGUACAUUUUGAUAAUUUGGGCUUAAUGGGCCAAAGAUCGGGUUCAUGGGCCAACGGGCCCAAUUCAGUAAGUAUGUGCGGUAAGUGUUCUGAUAGUACGUAAAUAGUUAGGAUAUGCAUGAAAACCCUAAAAGUAGCUAAAUUACUAUAAUACCCCUAUGUAUGGAAAAUUACUGUUAUACCCCUAUGUGCAAAAUUACCGUUAUACCCCUAGGGUUAAUUUUGACUGAAAAGCAUGACGAUCUGAUUAUGUAUGAUGUAUGCCAUGAUUAUAUAUCUGUUGUAUGGGAACAUGGGUUAUAUUAUGGAGGAAGCGUUCUGGUGGCUAUUCCACAAAUAUCUGAUCUGGUGGCUCUGCCACAUAUAUCUGUUCUAGUGGCUCUGCCACGAUUAUCUGUAUCUGGUGACUCUGUCACAUUAUCUGUUCUGGCAGCCAUGCUGCAAAUUCUGUGGUGUGUAGCGGUUGGGUGGGUCGAGUUGUCUCCCCACACGGUGUAAGGUUGGUACGGGGGUGUAUACGGUUGGAUAUGGUUGGGUUUCUGCAUAAACAUGUAAUAUCUGUUCUGUUCUGUUAUGGGCCUAUGGGCUUUAUUUUGAAUUCUGUUCUGGGCUAAGGCCAACUUAUUCUAUUUCUGUGGUUUAAGCUAAUAUAGGCUAUGGUUGGGUUAAUUUACACACUAAGUUUCCCCAAACUCACCCCUUUUAUUUUCAUCCACGCGGGUAAUCCCCAACCAUAGUGGGCUUGGAGCUGUGAGGGAAUUCGGAGUGGCGACCUGUUCUGAAAGUUUGAUUUUCUUCUAGUGAACUGGACAUCCUUUUAUUUACGUUUGAAGUUUUGGGUUUUUAAAUGUAAUAAUGCCGCUUAUUUAUUUUUGAUGGUUUUUUUUAUAUGUAUUACUAAGAUAGGUAAUACUUAUUUUAACUGUUGAAAUUGGAUAGCUUUAGGGCGCGUUUUCAAAAACAACAGUUGAUUUCAAAA